GCUCACAUUUAAUUUUUAUUUUGAUUUUUUUUAAUGCUGCACAACACAAUAUUUAUUUCAUUUGUUUCUUUUAUUUCAUUUUAUUUGUUUGCUGCUGCUGUUUUAUUUAUUUUUACUGAAAGUGAGAGGGAACUUUUGUGGCCUUUUUUCCUUUUUCUGUAGGCCGCCUUAAGCUUUCUAAAUUUGGAACAUCUAAGCAAGCUGAAGGGAAAAGGGGG
rnacentral:lncRNA from 1 species